ACUUUCUUUCAUCUCGAACCCCCAUUUCAUGAUCUAAGGGCAACUUCACCGGUGGUCUAUUUUUUGUUCCAAAUAUAUUCCAAAAAUGGACCUGUCAAAAUUAAUUAGACCAGUGAAAAUAGACCAAAUCGCCCGCGUGCGCACCGGUUGUUCUAUUUAUUUAGUUUUCGCGAUCCAUUUGAAAUGUAAACAACGAAAACAAUCAAAAUUAGUAAAUUUUGUGUUUUAACGCGGAAUUGUGAAAUAAUUUUCGAAAAAUAUAGUGCUUCAGACCUUUAUCACGUUUUGUGGACCCGGGAAAAACUUAAUUCAUCCGGUGCUAGGCUCACAAUAUGUCUUCCCAGAAGUUGGCCUUCCAGUAUACGUAAUAUUUUGGCGAGAAGGAUGUCAUUCUCAAGGUGCUGGAGAAACACGGCGGGAUUUGCGAUUGCCACCGCUAGGUCGUCACGUUCGUAUAUGUUGCCAGCGCUUAUAGCCAUGAACUGGAAUCAAUAUCACGGAUACUGCCGAUGUCGUGAUGUGGCCGGAAUUGGUCAUCCAGGAAGUGGACAUGUCAAGCGGUAAAAUUCGAGCUGUAAUAGGUGGGAAGGCGCCCGGAGCAGGAAUCGAUUCCAAUUGACAUGAUCCAUGAGACAACAUUUGGGACUGCCGAAGUUUCGGUGCAAAUGAAAGAAAAAUAUUUCGUGGAAGAAUCCGACACAUGGAAAAUGGAAAAGGUGGCUGCCAAAGAACCGAGUGGAGUAGACUCAGUAGACUGCCGCUCAGUUUCCAACGUUGGCCCAUAUUGAGGGAUGCUCCCACCAGGACAACGAUUUCAUCGAUUUCGUUAGCUUGGUUACCUCGAAUGAAGUCUAGAACAGACCUAAUUUUAGCGACUACAAUAAAAUAGGUAAUUCUUCAUAUUAA